AAUUAAUAUGAGAUAUGACAUGUUAAGACCCCGUAGGUGAGCUAGGGGCAUUUUAGUAAUUUUGACCCGAGAAUGGUAAAAUAGUGAAAUUAAUUUAUUUACGUGCUUAUGGACAAUAUUAUUAUAUAGUAUGCUUGUGUUGUCCUUUUUGCAGGUGUGUUCUGACAAGUUGGCGCGGUAUAGUCACAACCGGGUAUUUCGGGCCGAACCGGGUUCGGGGCCGAAAUACAAUUUUGGGAUUAAUUAUUGGUAUUUUAUUUAUGUGGGAAUAUCUGAAAAUUAUUUGAGUUUAUUUGUGUGUGCAAGUGGCUAUUUUACCCUUGAAGUGCUUAUGUGGGUGUUUUAUGGCCUUAAGGGCAAUUGAGUAAUUUUUCCAUUUUGGAGUAAGAUUCAUAAAAGGGAUUUUAAGCAAAAUAAAGAUUUAUUUUUCUUCAUUUUUUUCCAGCCCUUUGGCUGAACCCCCUUUCCUCUCAAAACUCAUUCUAACUCUUGGUUUUGGGUUGUGCUUGCUUGGAUUCAAGCUUGGGGUUUGUGGCUUUUGUGAUUGAGAUUGAAAAGAGUUAUUUUUGCAUCUUAAAAAGGAAAAUUUUUGGGCUUUUUCCUCUGUCCUAGCUGAACCCCCUCUCUCUCUUUUCUUCAUAUUUUUUUAUUUUGCUAAGUGUUGGAAAAUUCAUCUUGAAAGCUUGGAUUCUUGGUGGGUUUUGUGCUUAGCUUUGUUUGGAGCUUGAGGUAGUUCUUAACCCCUUUUAUUUGUUGAUUUUUCUUGCUGAAAUUUAUUGUUCAAAAUCAUGAAAAUAGUGUAUGAUGUUCUUGGUUUGCAUGUGGGGAGAAUCAAUAUUAAUCUUGAGAAAUUUGGGUGUGAAUUGCUUGGUUUUGUAAUGGAUUAUGUUGGUUGGAUUCUAGAUGAGCUUUUAGGGUAAUUUUCAUGUUUAAAUUCAACUUUUUGUUUGAUGUGUUGUUGCUGGAAAAAUAAGUUUGAUGCUUGCUUGAAAGUUGCUUGAAGGUUCAAGUUCUUGAUUAGGAACUUAUGAUGAAUUUUGCUCUAGGUUUGGAGUUUUGAUUCAUGUUGUUGAAUCUGAAUUUCUAUACAUGUGGACUGAAAUUUUAAGCUUAAUAAUUUGUGGUUUAACUUCCUUUUGUGGUUGUAUAAUUGUAUAAGAGGUUAUGUUGGAUUGAAGCAUGUUUGGGUUGAAAUUGAUGAGUUUAGGGGGCUGAAAUUCAUUGUAAAAUGCUGAUUUUUAUGUUGAUGGUUUUGGGUGUUGUUGGAGAGUGAAUUAGGUGUAAUUCCUCUCUAGUUACUUGGUUUAUGCUAGGUAAAAGUUUGGUAUGAUUGUGGGUUGAUAUAGCAUGAAAAAUUGGUGUUUUUGGAUGCAUUUUCGUGGCUGGAAACUGGGUUUCCUGGGGUUUUAAACCCAGUAGCCGCGGCCAUUUUAUGGCAGCAUGUUGCAUUUUUUCGGGUUUUUAUUUUGGUCAUAACUUUUGACUCGGGACUCUGUUUGGGAUGUUCUUUAUAUCGUUGGAAAGCUCUUUCUGAGCUCUAUGUAAAUAUCUGAAAUUUAAAUACCAAUUUUAUAAUUUGUGGAAAUGAAUUUAGGGGUUAACCCUAUACUUGUGUAUUCCGAGUUUGUGACUAGGAUUACCGGCACUUGGUCAGGAGCACCGGAGGAUUUGGAAUCUCCAUAUUUGCAGGACAUCAGGAAAGGAUAAAUAUGUCUCAGAUCAGCCAUGAGUGCGAGAGCUAAGCGAUGUAUGUACAUGUUCGGGCCACACUAGACCAAGUGGGUUGGGGUCUACCAGUGAUGUACUUUUGAAACUCUGAUUUUGCCGCUUAUGUCGGCUAUUGAAAAGACUUGUAAUAUUUUUGUAAAAUAUUUUUUUUAGGAUCCCGAAACAUGAGAUUUUUGAUUGUAAAGUUAAGCUUAUUACAAGUUUUAUUUUCAAUCUGUUUUCGAUUAAA